rnacentral:tRNA from 1 species
GCCGGAGUGGUGAAAUUGGCAGACACGCUAGACUCAAAAUCUAGUGAGGUUUAAACCCUCAUGUCGGUUCAACUCCGACCUCCGGCACCA